UCACUCAUUGGGGGCCGGGAUUUAAGAAGCCUCACUGCAGGCAUUCUGCGCGCUGUCUUCACAGACGACUUGGGAGCGAAGUUCAGCACACUAGGCCAGCGGCAAAAAAAGAGCCUAAGAGACUUGCAUGUGUACAGUGUCAUUGAAGAGGCGAUUCGAAGUGAUCCUAUGUGUGCAAAUGCAACAACCCAUGCCAUUCGUCAAGCAGCAGCUGCCUGGCUGAAAAAUUGCAGUCUGCGAGCAGCUAAGAGGCAUCAAAAGAACAUAGCGCAUUCUUUGGUGGAACAUGCAUAGAAGUUUCAAAUUAUAGAGUCAGCAGGCUUCAGAAGACACUGGGACUGCCACCAUAUAUCUAGUCACCUUACAUAGUUGGAAAAAAUAAAUUCUUUAUGUUGCUG
rnacentral:lncRNA from 1 species